rnacentral:rRNA from 1 species
UGGCGGCAUGCCUAACACAUGCAAGUCGAACGGCUCUUCGGAGCAGUGGCGCACGGGUGAGUAACGCGUGGGAAUCUACCCUGAGGUUCGGAAUAACGGUUGGGAACGACCGCUAAUACCGGAUAUGCCCUAUGGGGCAAAGGCUUGCCGCCUUGGGAGGAGCCCGCGUCCGAUUAGCUUGUUGGUGGGGUAACGGCCUACCAAGGCGACGAUCGGUAGCUGGUCUGAGAGGAUGAUCAGCCACACUGGGACUGAGACACGGCCCAGACUCC